GGCACAUAUGUGAACUGAACGGCUGGGAUUCCAGAUGUCAAUCGGACAAUUAAGGCUGAUUCAGAAACGAUCGAUUGGGAUUAAAAGCCAAGAGAACAGACAAUUCCGAUUCGCAGAGCAGAUGACCAAACGACCUAGAUUUUGCUCAGACAGAAAAGUACCAAAUUACCCUUUAUGAGGCUUGAUUAGAUGGUUCAUUUGUUGCCACGCACGUAG
rnacentral:lncRNA from 1 species